UACGGGGGGGGGCAAGCGUUGUUCGGAAUUACUGGGCGUAAAGGGCUCGUAGGCGGCCAACUAAGUCGGAUGUGAAAUCCCCAGGCUUAACCUGGGAACUGCAUCCGAUACUGGAUGGCUUGAAUCCGGGAGAGGGAUGCAGAAUUCCAGGUGUAGCGGUGAAAUGCGUAGAUAUCGAGAGGAACACCUGCGGCGAAGGCGGGUUGCUGGGCUGACACUGACGCUGAUGCGCGAAAGCCAGGGGAGCGAACGGG
rnacentral:rRNA from 1 species